GCCUCUAUCUCGUCCUCUGCUCCCGCGGGGGUCUGGGCUGAGAAUAAUGGCCCGGUUGGCCCGGGACGAGUGGAACGAUUAAUGAUGUUUUGCAGCAGUUUUCUACGUCUGAAAUUUUUUGUCUCUGGAACCCAGAAUUUGCUAAGAGAUGGAGGAACCUCAGAAAAGCUAUCUGAACACAAUGGACCUUGAGAAAGAUGAACCUCUCAAAAGCACCGGCCCUCAGAUUUCUGUUAGUGAAUUUUCUUGCCACUGCUGCUACGACAUCCUGGUUAACCCCACCACCUUGAACUGUGGGCACAGCUUCUGCCGUCACUGCCUUGCUUUAUGGUGGGCAUCUUCAAAGAAAACAGAAUGUCCAGAAUGCAGAGAAAAAUGGGAAGGUUUCCCCAAAGUCAAUAUUCUCCUCAGGGAUGCCAUUGAAAAGUUAUUUCCUGAUGCCAUUAGAAUGAGAUUUGAAGACAUUCAGCAGAAUAAUGACAUAGUCCAAAGCCUUGCAGCCUUUCAGAAAUAUGGGAAUGAUCAGAUUCCUUUAGCUCCUAACAGAGGCCCAGCGAAUCAGCAGAGAGGAGGGGGAUUCUUUUCCGGUGUGCUCACAGCUUUAACUGGAGUGGCAGUUGCUUUUAACUUUGACAGAGGAAGAAUUUUCCAAGACACCAUAUACCAUAGAAAACAGCAGCCACAGGAGGGCCAUCCUCGUGGAGCUAGAACGUGUCAAAGCA
rnacentral:sRNA from 1 species